rnacentral:miRNA from 1 species
GGGGUGGUCUGUUGUUG